rnacentral:lncRNA from 1 species
CCGAGAUUCGAACCCGGAUCCUCCAGAGUGGAAAGCCGAAGCGUUUCCACGCGGCCAAUCCGGCCGAAAUAUAUACAUGGUUUAAUUGGUGAAAAUCGCCAAAAUACCUAGGCAGUGUCUGAGGUGGAGAUAGCUAAUUUUGUUGGUGGAUUGGCUGACCGUAUCGGACUUAAAUCGGUGGUUUAUGAGGCGCCUAUGGAGAUACCGGAAGAUCUUGUAGAGCGGCUGGUGACCGCUGCCACAGUCAUUUCUACGUCGCUACGGCCUUUGGGGUGAUGUCCGCGGCCGCCAAUUCCGAUAAUAAUUUCUCAUCGUCCCCUUUCCGGUACUGUAGUCGGCGUCACAGACUAUGCGGAAAACACGCUGUCAAAUAAAUGUUUUUUGUACUUAUUAUCGUCCCCGCUCGACGUCAGAGCCCGCCUAAGUAUUUUCGCCAUUUUCUCGAUGUCUCCUCCGAAUUGCUGACCGCUUCGACAGAACACAUUGUAUACGCUCAUUGUCGAUAUAUCGAUGGUACCCACCGACUACUAGCGCAGUCUAUCCAAUGUGUGUAUAUGAUGGUUGGUGUAGACCGCGGCCCAUCUCACCGUGUUGUUUUAACGACGAAAUAUUAUUUGUAGCAUUUUCAAAUAAUAUUUUUCUGAUGCCAAAUUAUUUUUACAUCGAUUAGACGAUAAUGUUUUUAAACAAUAAGGAAAAAUUAAGCGUGG